rnacentral:ribozyme from 1 species
GUGCAGCCUGCAUUUGGUUAUGCUCGGAAUCUUCCCAGGGAGGUAUGGGGAGAAAGUCAAGGACCCCUUCUAUGGACCCAGCCCGGGCAGUUGGAUCCGCCCAGAGUACAGCCUCGACUUUCUGGAGCACGACUUGGCUGUCAACGUCGGG